AUUGAACGCUGGCGGCAUGCUUUACACAUGCAAGUCGAACGGCAGCACGGGGGCAACCCUGGUGGCGAGUGGCGAACGGGUGAGUAAUAUAUCGGAACGUACCCGGAAAUGGGGGAUAACGUAGCGAAAGUUACGCUAAUACCGCAUAUGCCCUAAGGGGGAAAGCGGGGGAUUCGCAAGAACCUCGCGUUUUCGGAGCGGCCGAUAUCGGAUUAGCUAGUAGGUGAGGUAAAGGCUCACCUAGGCGACGAUCCGUAGCUGGUCUGAGAGGACGACCAGCCACACUGGAACUGAGACACGGUCCAGACUCCUACGGGAGGCAGCAGUGGGGAAUUUUGGACAAUGGGCGCAAGCCUGAUCCAGCCAUGCCGCGUGAGUGAAGAAGGCC
rnacentral:rRNA from 1 species